GUUACGCAUUUUAAUGAGUUUGUAAUAAGCAAAGUACUACGGAAGAAGUAAUUUGCAUUUCACAGCACUAUUUAGAUAGAAUACUUUGUUAACACUCACUACAUUGAAGCAGGAAAAUUAGCCCAACUUCACAAGGAUUUAGAGUCUGAACACGUGCAGGCCAUUGUGCAGAAGAUGAUAUGCUUUUAAAGCUGGAAGAAAAGUUACUUGGUAAUACCCACAGUGAGAGAGAACAGAGGAAUACAACACCUGCACCUUAUUCACCUAGAGAAUAAGGCAGCAACAACCACUACUGGAUUUGUGCUGCGUGUCAGCAUUUCAGUGUCUCAGUUUGCACCUUGCGGUGGUGAUGCACACCAAUGUUUAGUUUGAAGGAAGCAUCCCUCCCUCCAUCCCUCCCUGCAGGCAUUCAAGCCUCCUUGGGCAACCUGUUCAGUGCGUCACCACCCUCUGCGUGAAAAGCUUCCUCCUAAUAUCUAACCGAAACCUCCCCUGUCUCAGUUUCAAACCAUUCCUCCUUGUCCUAUCACUGUCCACCCUCAUAAACAGCUGUUCCCCCUCCUGUUUAUACACUCCCUUCAAAUACUGGAAGGCCACAGUGAGGUCUCCCUGGAGCCUUCUCUUCUCCAAGCUGAACAAUCCCAGUUCCCUCAACCUUUCCUCAUAGGAGAGGUGCUCCAGCCCUCUGAGCAUCUUUGUGGCCCUCUUCUGAACCCAUUCCAAGAGCUCCACGUCUUUCUUGUGCUGAUAAUUCUUCUGCUGAUUUCAGUCUGUCAGGUUGAAGCCCUGCAGUGCUGUCUGAGUGCUGGGCUGCCAUGCAGCCUGAUGCUCCCACUGCAGUGAUGGGGCAGGAGAGUUUGUGAUCCGCUCUGAUCAGCAUUUCCCAUUUUUAUGCAUUAAAUAUAUCACACCAUCGUGUUUUGUGCUGCUUCACAGUGCCAGGUGAACACUACAGGCAUCAGCUGCCACCUCCAGACUUCCAGAGAGCCCUAUGAGAGUGUGGAACCACAGCAAAGGUAGGAGAUAAGUCUCCCACCUUAAAAUACAGAAGAUAGCAAAGCGUAUUUUCAGUGUUACUUCUCAGUAAACUGCAGGAAUGGGUCACUGCAGGCAGCGAGGACCCCCACAUGCUGCUAAUACAGUUCAUUUAUCCCUCAAAUUCUUGCUUAAUACUCCAGGAUUCACAGCGUUGUGAUGGCCAGCUUCAGUUCUGUGUUGGUGCACUGCAACUGGGCAGACGGGGUUGUUUUGGAGAACGCAUCUUAAUUCAGGUCUAAAUUUCUCCAGUACAGAAAAUAGAAGCAAUAAGUAAUAAAUAGGCUCUUAAAUCUCUCUUCUACAAUCUUCUUCAAUAAAAGGUCAGCUAAACAUUUUGUGCCUUAUAGAAAUGGAGCAUCUGAUUGUAAAGCAAAUUCAACCAGCAAAGCAGAGCUGUUGCUUGUAGUGCAACAGAGAUAAACAGAAGGCAGAUAAAAUUCCACCCCAAACAAAGCACACACGUAAAAACCCACUCAGAUCUAUAAUUCAGUGGGUUCAAAACAUAUCCAGGCAGGUCUAUGAGGUGCUGACACCUGGGACCAGUGAUUUUACCUUGAAGGAAAUGAAGGCCUGCAUCAUUCUUUAUCUCACUCCCUGCUUUAUUUGCUGCUUUUAUUCAGCUGAAGUUCUUUUUUCUGCAGUGUCCCUCCUCCCAUCACAAGACCAGGAGUGCUUCUUCCACACUGGUUUGUCCCAAUGCCCCUUUGAACGCUGGGCUGCCACUGUGUGCCAGACAGCCAUUCAUACACACAAGCACUCAGAAAUACUCACAAAGUUCUUCUCUUCUCCUUCCUGUGCAUCACCUGCAGCUCAGUGUGUGAGCUGAGUUCUCAGCUGGGAUACACAUGUGGAAAUCACUGCCUUAUAUUCAUUAUUUGCAUCCCUCUCUAGGACAAGCACACAUAAUUGAAGAAGAUAACUCCAACUUACUCUCCCUAUGAGCAUAUUGCCAUGCCAAUAUGUCUUGAUUAGGUUGAUUUCCUCCUAAAAAGAAAGCAUUUUUGUAUUGUGGUGCCUAAGAAGAUUUCCAGCAGAGCCUGCUGCUUGAGCUCUGCUAGCGAUACUUACAUUCAGUAUUCUCAUUGCUCUUGUUUAUCUUUUUAUUAUGCUCACAUUCUCAUCCUUCAUCCCACCCGUCUCCAUCAGCGGGCCGUAACACUUUCACACCAGCAAGCAGGCCUGAAGGCAAAUAUUGUCCAAAUAUUGUCUGUCACUGCCACGUUUUGUUUUAAUUCCUGAGACCAGGAGAUCCGGCUGUGCUGCUGCACCCCCAACAGCCACACAGUUUCUGGGUUCUCAGCCUGGGCCAUCCCUGCGUGCCCCACUGCCUCGUUUCCCAGGAGCUGGCAGCCACCGUGCAGGUGACCUCCUGCCCCAUAGCCCAGAGCUGGGGGACUGCAGCUCAGCACAAAGGCAGCUCCAUACAGAAGGGCUGUAGCUCCAGCCGGUGUCCUCUCACAUCCCUGACACUUCCCACUCGAGUAUUUAACCCCCAGUGCUGGAGGAGGUGACAGUACUUUUUUAUGGCUUUGAGGGGGUGACCUUUUCUAUCAUCGUACUUUACUCACUUUCCCCUUCUGCAUGAAAAAAAAAAAAAAAAAAAAAAAAA
ensembl:lncRNA